GUGUCUGGUGGGUAGUUUGACUGGGGCGGUCUCCUCCUAAAGAGUAACGGAGGAGCACGAAGGUUGGCUAAUCCUGGUCGGACAUCAGGAGGUUAGUGCAAUGGCAUAAGCCAGCUUGACUGCGAGCGUGACGGCGCGAGCAGGUGCGAAAGCAGGUCAUAGUGAUCCGGUGGUUCUGAAUGGAAGGGCCAUCGCUCAACGGAUAAAAGGUACUCCGGGGAUAACAGGCUGAUACCGCCCAAGAGUUCAUAUCGACGGCGGUGUUUGGCACCUCGAUGUCGGCUCAUCACAUCCUGGGGCUGAAGUAGGUCCCAAGGGUAUGGCUGUUCGCCAUUUAAAGUGGUACGCGAGCUGGGUUUAGAACGUCGUGAGACAGUUCGGUCCCUAUCUGCCGUGGGCGCUGGAGAACUGAGGGGGGCUGCUCCUAGUACGAGAGGACCGGAGUGGACGCAUCACUGGUGUUCGGGUUGUCAUGCCAAUGGCACUGCCCGGUAGCUAAAUGCGGAAGAGAUAAGUGCUGAAAGCAUCUAAGCACGAAACUUGCCCCGAGAUGAGUUCUCCCUGAGACUUAAAGUCUCCUGAAGGAACGUUGAAGACGACGACGUUGAUAGGCCGGGUGUGUAAGCGCAGCGAUGCGUUGAGCUAACCGGUACUAAUGAACCGUGAGGCUUAACCUUACA
rnacentral:rRNA from 1 species